rnacentral:rRNA from 1 species
UACGUAGGGGGCGAGCGUUGUCCGGAUUUAUUGGGCGUAAAGAGCGUGUAGGCGGCUUGGUAGGUCCGCUGUGAAAACUCGGGGCUCAACCCCGAGAGGUCGGUGGAAACCAUCUGGCUAGAGUCCGGAAGAGGAGAGUGGAAUUCCUGGUGUAGCGGUGAAAUGCGCAGAUAUCAGGAAGAACACCCGUGGCUAAGGCGGUUCUCUAGUACGGUACUGACGCUGAGACGCGAAAGCGUGGGGAGCAAACAGG